AGCUUUUCGAAUCCGUGCUGAGAUUUCGUCAGACAUUGACCAACUAGGGCUGAUCAGACUUCCAAGAUAAGUGAAGUU
rfam:Schistosoma mattheei strain Denwood, Zambia genome assembly, scaffold: SMTD_scaffold0013954